CCUACGGGAGACAGCAGUAGGGAAUCUUCCACAAUGGGCGAAAGCCUGAUGGAGCAACGCCGCGUGGGUGAAGAAGGUCUUCGGAUCGUAAAACCCUAUUGUUAGAGAAGAAAGUGCGUGAGAGUAACUGUUCACGUUUCGACGGUAUCUAACAAGAAAGCCACGGCUAACUAGGUGCAAGCAGCCGCGGUAAGACGUAGGUGGCAAGCGUUAUCCGGAUGUAUUGGGCGUAAAGGGAACGCAGGCGGUCUUUUAAGUCUGAUGUGAAAGCCUUCGGGUUAACCGGAGUAGUGCAUUGGAAACUGGGAGACGUUAGUGCAGAAGAGGAGAGUGGAACUCCAUGUGUAGCGGUGAAAUGCGUAGAUAUAUGGAAGAACACCAGUGGCGAAAGCGGCUCUCUGGUCUGUAACUGACGCUGAGGUUCGAAAGCGUGGGUAGCAAACAGGAUUAGAUACCCCUGUAGUC
rnacentral:rRNA from 1 species